rnacentral:rRNA from 1 species
GGUGAGCCGCGAAUAGCUCAUUACAACAGCCAUAGUUUAUUGGAUCUUCUCUCUACUUGGAUACCUGUGGUAAUUCUAGAGCUAAUACACGCACGAAAGCCCCGACUUCGGGAGGGGCGCAUUUAUUAGAACAAAACCAAUCGGGCUUGCCCGUCGUUUGGUGAAUCUGAAUAACUCAGUUGAUCGCACAGUCCUCGAACUGGCGACGUAUCUUUCAAGUGUCUGCCUUAUCAACUUUCGAUGGUAGUUUACAUGACUACCAUGGUUGUAACGGGUAACGGAGAAUAAGGGUUCGACUCCGGAGAGGGAGCCUGAGAAACGGCUACCACAUCCAAGGAAGGCAGCAGGCGCGCAAAUUACCCACUCUCAGUACGAGGAGGUAGUGACGAAAAAUAACGAGACGGUUCUCUAUGAGGUCCGUCAUCGGAAUGGGUACAAUUUAAACCCUUUAACGAGGAUCUAUUGGAGGGCAAGUCUGGUGCCAGCAGCCGCGGUAAUUCCAGCUCCAAUAGCGUAUACUAAAGUUGUUGCGGUUAAAAAGCUCGUAGUUGGAUCUGCGGUCUCGCGUGCCGGUGAAUCCUCAGGAUUUUACUGGUUUCGCAGGCCUACCUCGCUGGUUUUCCCUUGGUCCUCUUUACUGAGUGCCCUGGGUGACCAGCAAGUUUACUUUGAAAAAAUUAGAGUGCUCAAAGCAGGCGCGUAGCCUGAAUAGUGGUGCAUGGAAUAAUGGAAUAGGACCUUGGUUCUAUUUUGUUGGUUUUCGGAACGCGAGGUAAUGAUUAAGAGGGACAGACGGGGGCAUUCGUAUUGCUGCGUUAGAGGUGAAAUUCUUGGAUCGCAGCAAGACGGACAACUGCGAAAGCAUUGCCAAGAAUG